GAUGAACGCUGGCGGCGUGCCUAAUACAUGCAAGUCGAGCGAAUGGAUUAAGAGCUUGCUCUUAUGAAGUUAACGGCGGACGGGUGAGUAACACGUGGGUAACCUGCCCAUAAGACUGGGGUAACUCCGGGAAACCGGGGCUAAUACCGGAUAACAUUUUGAACCGCAUGGUUCGAAAUUGAAAGGCGGCUUCGGCUGUCACUUAUGGAUGGACCCGCGUCGCAUUAGCUAGUUGGUGAGGUAACGGCUCACCAAGGCAACGAUGCGUAGCCGACCGGAGGGGGUGAUCGGCCACACUGGGACUGAGACACGGCCCAGACUACGACGGGAGGCAGCAGUAGGGAAUCUUCCGCAAUGGACGAAAGUCUGACGGAGCAACGCCGCGUGAGUGAUGAAGGCUUUCGGGUCGUAAAACUCUGUUGUUAGGGAAGAACAAGUGCUAGUUGAAUAAGCUGGCACCUUGACGGUACCUAACCAGAAAGCCACGGCUAACUACGUGCCAGCCGCCGCGGUAA
rnacentral:rRNA from 1 species